rnacentral:rRNA from 1 species
CCCCACUGCUACCGGGAUGGGACUAAGACAUGCUAGUCGAGCGUCUCCAAGCUAUGGAAGAGACGCGGCAUACAGCUCAGUAACACGUGGCUAACCUGCCCUUGGGACAAGGACAACUCCGGGAAACUGGGGCUAAUCCCUGAUAGGUGAGAACUCCUGGAAUGGAUUCUCGCUGAAAGGACGUUUAGACCAUGCUUCUAGGCGUCGCCCAAGGAGGGGGCCGCGACCGAUCAGGUUGUUGGUGAGGUAACGGCUCACCAAGCCUUUAACCGGUACGGGCCGUGAGAGCGGGAGCCCGGAGAUGGGCACUGAGACAAGGGCCCAGGCCCUACGGGGCGCAGCAGUCGCGAAACCUCCGCAAUACACGAAAGUGUGACGGGGCUAUCCCGAGUGCCAUCCGCUGAGGAUGGCUUUUCCCCAGUGUAUAAAGCUGGGGGAAUAAGGAGAGGGCAAGCCUGGUGUCAGCCGCCGCGGUAAUACCAGCUCUCCGAGUGGUGGGGAUGUUUAUUGGGCCUAAAGCAUUCGUAGCCUGCUUGGCAAGUCCUCCGUUAAAUCCAACGAUUCAAUCGUUGGGCUGCGGGGGAUACUGUCCGGCUAGGGGGCGGGAGAGGCCGACGGUAUCCCCGGGGUAGGGGUGAAAUCCUAUAAUCCCGGGAGGACCACCAGUGGCGAAGGCUGUCGGCUAGAACGUGCUCGACGGUGAGGGAUGAAAGCUGGGGGAGCGAACCGGAUUAGAUACCCGGGUAGUCCCAGCUGUAAACGAUGCAGGCUAGGUGUUGGCGCGGCUACGUGCCGCUCCAGUGCCGCAGGGAAGCCGUUAAGCCUGCCGCCUGGGAAGUGCGGCCGCAAGGCUGAAACUUAAAGGAAUUGGCGGGGGAGCACCACAAGGCGUGAAGCUUGCGGUU